UGGGGAAUAUUGCACAAUGGGGGAAACCCUGAUGCAGCAACGCCGCGUGAGUGAUGACGGCCUUCGGGUUGUAAAGCUCUGUCUUCAGGGACGAUAAUGACGGUACCUGAGGAUGAAGCCACGGCUAACUACGUGCCAGCAGCCGCGGUAAUACGUAGGUGGCAAGCGUUGUCCGGAUUUACUGGGCGUAAAGGGAGCGUAGGCGGACUUUUAAGUGAGAUGUGAAAUACCCGGGCUCAACCUGGGUGCUGCAUUUCAAACUGGAAGUCUAGAGUGCAGGAGAGGAGAUUGGAAUUCCUAGUGUAGCGGUGAAAUGCGUAGAGAUUAGGAAGAACACCAGUGGCGAAGGCGACUCUCUGGACUGUAACUGACGCUGAGGCUCGAAAGCGUGGGGAGCAAACA
rnacentral:rRNA from 1 species